UAUGUACUCCCUCCGAUCCUAAAUUGUUGUCGAAAUAUUACAUGUAUUUAGAUGCCUUUUAAGAGUAGAUACAUCCAUAUUUGGACAAAUUUGAGACAAGAAUUUAGGAUCGGAGGGAGUAUAUU
rfam:Brachypodium distachyon strain Bd21 chromosome 4, whole genome shotgun sequence.